GCCUUGGGCUGGGCUUUGCGGCCAAGCAGAGGCAGUUAGACUCCUAAGUGUGGUGUAACUAGCUUCCACCCUUUAACUAAAUUUGCUGUAGUUGUCAUUUCCUUCCAUGGUUGGGUCCUUGGGGUAGAGUCUGAGGCUAGUCCUAAAGGCUGGCUGCCUGGGGAUUAAAGCCCAGUAGAACUUCCACCACUUCUAGGAGUGACCAGCUCAGUUUUGCAGCUUGUCAUUUGCCUGAUAUAUAUUUAUUGAAGAAAACAGAAGAGAAAAAGUCUUCUGAUUUAAUUGCUGCUACUAAAGAACAUUCACAAGGUGACAAUGGACUCUGAACAGACUUUAAUGUUCUAUCCAGUACACUAGAAGCAUGAACAUGAAGAAUACCUCAUCAAUAUCCCUUUUUUCAGAUAUGUCGUCAGGAUAACAUGAAAUAAUGUUUGUAAAAUGCUUAUCUCAGUGUCUGUUGUACCGCAGGCCCUUAACAAAUGGAUUUGCUUUUCUCUCUCUCAUGAGAAGGCUCCAUGCCCAUCUCCACAUUGGUGUUUUUACUUUUAUUUUUCCAUGUGACAUAAAAGUCAGUCCCUCUCUCUAAAGCAGACCUUAUCCCAGCUUCCCAAAGAGACGUUGUGAGAAGCUGCCUAUUUAUCUGAACUCCUACACCAUUUAUCUCCAGAGCGUGGACGGAGCAUAUGUGUGGCAGGGGGUUGAUACUUGGCUCUCUGUCCUAGCCUGCUUGCUGUACACCUUUGGAUAAUUUAUCUGUUUAUCUGUGACUCAAUCUGAUUUUUCCUGCUUUUUGAUGCAGUCUAAAAUUCUAAAAGUCUUAGGGUGCCUAUGUUAUUCAUUUUUUCAUAUGUACUGAUUUUA
rnacentral:lncRNA from 1 species